GUUUCUUCCUAAGCUGAGUGAAUCUGGACACUUUCUAACUUGGAACAAAUCACACAGACAAAAUGAAGAUAAAAUGCCCCCAUCCAGGAAGUGUCUGUCCACUGCAAGAAAUUUGAAGUAACAAAAUGGCCUCCUUAAUCAGGAAUCAGUUUCCAUCACAUUCUUGGGAGCUAAGCACCCAGUGGUGGGGUAACUGAAACAAACCGAAGAGACUGAUGGAAAAAAAAUCAAAAAGCAAGGGCGGAAUUUCAAAGCCUGGAUCAUAGAAGAAGGAAUGCUGCAUGACAAGAAGACAGCCUGCCUGGGACAAUCUCUAUACCCCCGCAAAGACUGGCUUCUUUUAGGUGUUUACUGUUUGUUAUCUUG
rnacentral:lncRNA from 1 species